UCCUACGGGGGGCAGCAGUAGGGAAUUUUCGUCAAUGGGCGCAAGCCUGAACGAGCAAUGCCGCGUGAACGAGGAAGGUCUUCGGAUCGUAAAGUUCUGUUGAAGGGGAAAAAGAGCGGAGAGAGGAAAUGGUCUCCGAUUGAUAUUACCCUUCGAGGAAGUCACGGCUAACUACGUGCCAGCAGCCGCGGUAAUACGUAGGUGGCGAGCGUUAUCUGGAAUGAUUGGGCGUAAAGGGUGCGUAGGCGGCCUGCUAAGUCUGGAGUGAAAGGAACCGGCUCAACCGGUACAGGCUCUGGAAACUG
rnacentral:rRNA from 1 species